GCCCCACUGGUGUAGUGGUUAGCACACCUGACAGCUUGUCUUUCCGGUGUCCCUGGGCACUUCUGUGUUGGGAAUAAAUCCGACAUGAUCAUUAGGAGUUCUUGGUUCGAUCCCAAGGCGGGGCU